AAAGAGUCUCCCUCCUGAGCAAGCUUUUGCUGACUCAUCCCGGGAGCUCACAACUUCCAGGAAGUUGGGUUGGCAACAGGCGCUGGCUGAAGAGCCAAGACAAUUGUUUUCCCAUUAUUUCAUUACCAGCUGGCAGACAGGCUGCAUAACCCCAAUAGAAAUUGCUCCUUCCACAGGAAGUAAUGGGGACCACCAGGAGACAGCCCAGUUCUCUUACCACCUGGACAUCUCCAGGGAUUUCAAAUGCUACCGGGUCCAGGCUCAGGAAUCUUUUCUUAGAAACUGGUUCAGCCCUCUGCCUGCUGCAUCUCUGAAAAGUUGCCUCCGUGCUCUGGACCCAAACCAUCCUCAGAUGCAAAUGAACCACUGUCAGAGAAGAAUUUGUUCAUUGAAGUUGCUAUGGCAAAGUCUACUUAGAAUUUCCAAAUCCUCCAGAGUCUUUCUUAAGGUCUGAAUCCAAUAAAAAUGACUCAGCAAAUGGUGGUCAGUUCCUGUGGGAAUGGAAGGGUGGCUGCUUUAAUUCUGUAGGCCUUGAUUUCCAUAUUGAUUGUAACCUUAUAUAUUUCUGUUACUUUGUGACAGAAGAGAAACUCAGACUUCAUCAAAUUCAUAGUCAGCAUUAAAAGAAUUUCUGCAAUAAGAAAAUAAGCACAACAGGAAACCAAAUUUUGAUGUUUUACCUUGUGCUGAGCCAACUGGUCCAGAGAAAAUAGUCUGGUCCCCACACCAGACCCCAUAUUCCUACCUGGUUUCCCUCCCUGGGAACUUAGUGAAGAACUGUCUUUCCAAACACUCUUCGGUGCCAUUUAAUCCAUGGAUGACUUUUCCUACUUUGCAUUUGAAGUCUCCACAGCAUGUCUGCCAGGAAGGACUCAACAGAUGCAGAAAAGCCACGAAUUCAAUGGCCUUUUGGAGCAUCUCACUGCCAAGCCCUCUUGACCAACUCACGGCCCAUUUGGAUGCUGACUGGCAGGCAUGUCUGCCCAAGGCCACAGACCAGAACAGCAGUGGCACCUCAGAGCCUCUGAUCCUCAUGGCUCUGUCCCAUGCUUCUCCUGAGCAUGGCAGACAUGACAACCGACGCACAAGUGAAGACUCUAUUCAAUGGAGAUGGCUUCCCGUGGCAUGGGAAAGCACACCAAAUUGAGUUGGCUCCCCAGAGCCUAUGGCUUUUGUUGUUGGUUGGUUGGUUGGGUGGGUGGUUAGUUGGUUUUUUUUAAAGACAGGGUUUCUCUGUGUAGCCCUGCCUGUCCUGGAACUCUCACUGUAGACCAAGCUGGCCUCGAACCAAG
rnacentral:lncRNA from 1 species